UUUUGUGAUAAAAGGCUAUAUCCAAAAGGAAUAAAUUGAUUUUAUAGACUUUCUUUCUAGUCCUAUAAAAAAACUCUUUUAGGACAAUUAUGAUAUUUUGCUGUAAAUUAUGAUUUAAAGUUUCAUCAAAUAUCAAAAUUAUGUUUCUCAAUAAUAACAUCGAUGUGACGAUUUAUAUGUAGAGCUGUCAACAUUUUUUUUGGCCCCAAGGCCAGCCCUAACCCCUUUUUAAAUUAGCCCACUAUUCUUGACCCACAUUAGAGGGGGCUUUUCCAAAGCCCCUGGCCCCCACAGCCCCAGAAAGUGGGUUGAGAUUGAAUUAGGGUCGGGUCAGCCCCUUUUCCACUCAUUCUCUCUGACCAAACACUUGCUUAAGAAUUUGAAGGAAGAGUGAGACUUGGGUCUAUAUAUAAGCACGCUCUCCCUCAGUUUGCCAUUGAUGUUUCCUCUUAUUUACAAAUGUGUCCUGUUUUAUAUUUAAUAAAUCGUCAAAAUAAUUAAUUAUUCAUUAAUUUCAUCUCAGCAUAUAUAAAAAAUCAUC
rnacentral:lncRNA from 1 species